ensembl:lncRNA
AAGUCAUCAUUGCACUCUCAAGAAUGAAGUUCUUGACCAGGAAAUGGCAAAAGGCGAUCCGAAGGCCAUCAUUGUCUGCAACUGGACAUGCUGGACCUAAAGUGGAUGUCUUAAGGGAGCAACAGCCAAUAUCUAAAUCUGACUUGAUCCAGAACAGAGCAAGUAAUGCCGUCCAAAGAGCCACUGUUUCAGCUCUGGUGCCUCCAAGUAAAUCACCCUUCAGGUUGCACAACAGGUCUCACUCCAGUUCCACCAUGGCCUCAGUGCAUUUGGAUGGAACAUCUCAGGAUCCAGAGCAAUCGCUGACAGAAUACAUCCACCAUCUAGAGAAAGUCCAGCAACGGUUGGUGGGAGCCAAGCAAAGUUCAGCUGUCCUCCAGACCCGGCCAAAGUAGUCUGAUUACUCAGACUGAAGUCUGCCUGCCCUAAUAUUGUUCAAUGUAUCAUGCCUUACUCCUGUGAAAUACCAAAAUGUCACCCUUGUUCAAUUUUGUUCUGAUGUCAUAACUUUAAACAUGUUUUCUAAGGGUUUAUUUUUUUUAUUUCAUUAUUAAACAGUUUACAUAUUUUUAUUUGUCAUGUCCACAGAAGAUGCUGUAAUAGCAAAUGUUUUCUGUGAUUUUUAUUGUUUUUAAACUAAUGUUUAGUACUAUUCUAAUAAGACUGACUGUAUAAAUGUAAACAUGUGUUCCCCCCCAAUACUGGAAAACACUCGACAUGCAUUGUUGAAUAAAGAUGAGUUGUGUUUUAGUUAUUAAAGACCUUUUAUUUGAUUUCAAAUUCAUGACUUUAUCAAAAGACGUUCAUUUAUGUUUCAAGAUUAUUUUAAAUGUGAUGAAUUAGCAAAGAUAAUUGAUUUUUACCAACUAACACAGAUUAGAGUAACUGGUUAUUUCUAACUAGCAUCAAUCUGUUGGAGAAAACCAUUUUGCCCCUUCAUAACAGUACCUUUAUCUUAAACUUAAUUAAAUUAGCCCUUAAUUUUGCUUAGGUGUGUAAAUCUUUGUUGAUAAUUAUGUAAACAGUUGCCCAACACAGCCAAUGAGCAUCAGCGUUUGUAGUGACGUUUUACCCCCUCCUUCAAGAAUUGUUCGUUAAUUAUACCAGAAGAUACCGCGGACGGGCGGAAAACACAACUACGUGUCACCGCAGGACUCCACCCUCCCCGUUUUCCUCUAACGUUCACAACGUUCGCCAUUCGCUGAAGUCUGCCAAGUGACGCACUAAUUUCGCAUCGGUACAGCAAUGCUAAGCUAAAGUAACAGUAGGCGCGUGUCGUAGGUUCUUAUUUUAACACCUUACCUGUCAAAUAAACCGUCCUGGCCCGCGUGGAAGACCUCGUUACACCUUUCUCGUAUUUGUCUGGGAUGUAUAAAUGGAUAGUUGACUGCAUUUCGUCGUUGUUUGAGCCCAUAUCGAGUCAAAACACACCCGGGGAAAGUAUCGAUUGCGAGGAAGAAUUCACUAGAACCUGCGUGAAAGCUGCUAGACAACGGCUGGGUAGCAGCGCGAGACCCGCAAAACGGAACUAUCAGAGGUCGGUAAAUGUCAAUAAACGUGUAGAUGUUACUUAAUAAAUGCCUUGUUUUUCGGUAACAAAACUACGCACACUAAUUUUGAAAG